AGACCAUGCCAAACCAAAGUCAGA
rnacentral:siRNA from 1 species